rnacentral:rRNA from 1 species
GUAACCUACGGGACGCAGCAGUAGGGAAUCUUCCACAAUGGACGAAAGUCUGAUGGAGCAACGCCGCGUGAGUGAAGAAGGGUUUCGGCUCUUAAAGCCUUGUUUGUGGGGAAGAAAGAUAGAGGUAGUAACUGGCCUUUAUUUGACGGUAAUUACUUAGAAAGUCACGGCUAACUACGUGCCAGCAGCCGCGGUAAUACGUAGGUGGCAAGCGGUGUCCGGAUUUAUUGGGCGUAA